rnacentral:rRNA from 1 species
UACGUAGGGUGCAAGCGUUAAUCGGAAUUACUGGGCGUAAAGCGUGCGCAGGCGGCUUUGCAAGACAGAUGUGAAAUCCCCGGGCUUAACCUGGGAACUGCAUCUGUGACUGCAUCGCUGGAGUGCGGCAGAGGGGGAUGGAAUUCCGCGUGUAGCAGUGAAAUGCGUAGAUAUGCGGAGGAACACCGAUGGCGAAGGCAAUCCCCUGGGCCUGCACUGACGCUCAU